GAUGAAGAACGUAGCGAAAUGCGAUACGUAAUGUGAAUUGCAGAAUUCAGUGAAUCAUCGAAUCUUUGAACGCACCUUGCACCCUUUGGCAUUCUGAAGGGUAUGCUCGUUUGAGUGUCAUUGUACUCUCACACUCCCGAUCUUUGCAUUGGGAGCAGUGGACUUGGGUUUGCUGCUUCACCGUCGCUUACCUCAAAUAGGUUAGUGCAACUCUUGGUUGGACAUAGUACGGCGUGAUAAGUGUUCUUCGCCGGUGCCUCGCAAAGAGGGUGGCCGAUCGGGAUGUUGUGCUCCAAACCGUCUUCGGACAAUCUCUGACGACUUGACCUCAAAUCGAGUAAGACUACCCGCUGAACUUAAGCAUAUCAAUAAGCGGAGGA
rnacentral:misc_RNA from 1 species